AACCUUGCUAAUAAAACACGAGGAACCAGAAACACGGAGAAUAAAACACGAGCAAAAAGGAGGCCGGAUGAAAAUAAAAGAAGAAAAACAAGAUCUGAAUGAGGUGGAGGAGAAACAUCAGUGCCAGAAAGCUCAUAAUGUCACUGCUGGAGAAAAAUCAGUGAGAUGCAGCAUAAAAAAAACAAAAGUCAAAAAGCCUUUUAGAUGCUCUCAGUGUGGGAAGUUGUUCACACGUAAAGCAAGCCUUAAGAAGCACAUGUUAAUUCAUGCUGGGAUAAAGCCUUUCAGCUGCUCUCAGUGUGGAAAGAGUUUCACACAGCAUGGACACCUUAAGGAUCAUUUGGUAACUCACAUUUCAGAAAAGCCUUUCAGCUGCUCUCAGUGUGGAAAGUCUUUCACACGUAAAGGAUACCUUAAGACUCACAUGUUAAUUCACACUGGAAUAAAGCCUUUUACCUGCUCUCAGUGUGGAAAGAGUUUCAUAUGUAAAGGAAUCCUGAGGAAUCACAUGCUAAUUCAUACUGGAAUAAAGCCUUUCAGCUGCUCUGAGUGUGGAAAGAGUUUUACACAGAAAGUACACCUAAAGGUUCAUUUGCUAACUCACUCUUUCGAAAAGCCUUUCAGGUGCUCUCACUGUGGAAGGUCUUUCACACGUAAAGGAUACCUUGAGACUCACAUGUUAUGUCAUGCUGG